GGCACAGUGGCUUAGUGGUUAGCAUGUUUGUCUUGAGCCUCCAGGGUUGGAGUUUCGAUUCCUGCCUCUGCCC